GUCAGGAUAGCUCAGUUGGUAGAGAAUGAGACUCUUAAUCUCAGGAUUGUGGGUUCAAGCCCCACGUUAGGUA